rnacentral:rRNA from 1 species
UACAUAGGGUGCUAGCGUUGCUCGGAAUAACUGGGCGUAAAGCACAUGUAGGAGGGCUAAUAAGUUAAAAGUGCAAGCCCUGAGCUAAACUUGGGAACUGCUUUUAAUACUAUUUGUCUGGAGGAAGAUAGAGGGUAGCGGAAUUCUUAGUGGAGGGGUUAAAUCCGUAGAUAUUAAGAGGAACACCGAAAGCGAAAGCAGCUACUUAGGUCUUUCCUGACUCUGAGAUGUGAAAGCGUGGGGAGCGAAC